UACAGAGGUCCCAAGCGUUGUUCGGAUUUACUGGGCGUAAAGGGUGCGUAGGCGGCAUGGAAAGUUCGAGGUGAAAUCUCCAGGCUCAACUUGGAAACUGCCUUGAAUACUUCCAUGCUAGAGGGUCGCAGAGGAGAUUGGAAUUCUCGGUGUAGCAGUGAAAUGCGUAGAUAUCGAGAGGAACAUCAGUGGCGAAAGCGAAUCUCUGGGCGGCAUCUGACGCUGAGGCACGAAAGCCAGGGGAGCAAACGGG
rnacentral:rRNA from 1 species